AAGUCGUAACAAGGUCUCCGUAGGUGAACCUGCGGAGGGAUCAUUAACACGUUUUAAAACACGUUUUAACACACCCAACAACCAACCACGUGAACUAUUUAACACUCCUGGAAAAGAGAGAAUUCUGUCUAUGCAAACACUAAUGAUGAGCUCUCGCAAGGGAGCGGUGUGUGUAGACUAGCAUUGCAGGCAACUGACUUUGUAAAGACCUUUCUUUUCUGGGCUAAAUGCCUCUCUCAUCACUGGGGCGAAAACACCACUUUCACUACUUCUAUAACCAUUGACUGUAUCUUUUUUUAAUUUCUCUGCGCAAGCAGUGUAAUUGAAAGAAACCAUAAUCAAAUAUCUAAGCACAACUCUUAGCAACGGAUAUCUUGGUUCUC
rnacentral:misc_RNA from 1 species